rnacentral:rRNA from 1 species
GACGAACGCUGGCGGCGUGCCUAAUACAUGCAAGUCGAGCGAAUGGAUUAAGAGCUUGCUCUUAUGAAGUUAGCGGCGGACGGGUGAGUAACACGUGGGUAACCUGCCCAUAAGACUGGGAUAACUCCGGGAAACCGGGGCUAAUACCCGAUAACAUUUUGAACCGCAUGGUUCGAAAUUGAAAGGCGGCUUCGGCUGUCACUUAUGGAUGGACCCGCGUCGCAUUAGCUAGUUGGUGAGGUAACGGCUCACCAAGGCAACGAUGCGUAGCCGCCCUGGGAGGGUGAUAGGCCACACUGGGACUGAGACACGGCCCAGACUCCUACGGGAGGCAGCAGUAGGGAAUCUUCCGCAAUGGACGAAAGUCUGACGGAGCAACGCCGCGUGAGUGAUGAAGGCUUUCGGGUCGUAAAACUCUGUUGUUAGGGAAGAACAAGUGCUAGUUGAAUAAGCUGGCACCUUGACGGUACCUAACCAGAAAGCCACGGCUAACUACGUGCCAGCCGCCGCCGUAA